GCCAGCAAUUUCCUAGAUAGAGGCUGUCCUGGCUGGAAUCAGCUGAACUUGAUCAGACAAGUGCACCCUGGGCACCUGCCAAGGAGCGGGACUGCUGGUCCCAGAGACUGAGUAUGUGAAAUGUGACCGAUACAUUGUCUUGUGGUAAUGGCUGUGGGUGUGAAUUCUGUGGCUACGGAGCCGAAUGACUUGGGUGAAGUGAAAGAAGUCUAGAAUCAUCUCUCAGUGAAAAUGUGUGCCAUGAAAUGCAUUUGAGUUCUAGCCCCCUGCACGGCAGCCUGCUUCCUGCACAGGAUUCCUCAAGGGCAAAGGAGGCGGAGCCCGGCGCAAGGGUACUGCAGCUCCAGCGCUUGGUGGGACAAGGCCAUGGUGCAUCCCGAGGGUCGCCGGGGAGGCAAUGCCGCAAGGGAAACGUCUUGGCUCUGUGGAUGAAUCCUGCCAGAGAAAGGCAAUGCGGACAUUGAUCUGUGGGCCACUCAGGCCGGCUGCAGGGACAUGCUGUCUUGAGUGUAUGGAACAGAAGCCUGUAGGUAGAUCUUAGCAGUAUUGGAGGAUAUUGUUGCCAGGGUUUUGACUUUUCAUAUUGUGAGCAACUCAAUAAAUGGAAUGAAAGACAAAAUUCUGACUGAAUGCAGAAGAGUGCCAUGCCUUGACCAAUGAUGAGUGUUCUGGGGUGUCUGAAUCAAUGAUUUUGAUUAAACCCCGUAACUCUGAGGUUCCAAGAACAGGCCAAGUGAAUGCUUAAUAGUAAAAGCAGAAGUUAGGAAUAUUCAGGAUUUUGUUCAUAGGCUAGUAAGUAAGCUUCACUAUUAUGUAUAAAUUAAUAGAUGAGUAAUUAAAUCAACAUAUAAAUGAGUGAAGACAAGUUGAACCAUAUGUGACCUAAUUGUGAAGAGUGUGUAAUAUAUUCAUAUUGUUAGUGCAGUUCUGAAACAGUCUGUUCCAACACAAGCUGAUUAAUUGUGAUGCCCGUUUGAAUAGGGAGCACACUGAGAACAAGUAUUUAGAAAUCUGUGUUUUUGCUCUGUACUGUGUAAGUGGCGCC